GAUGAAGAACGUAGCGAAAUGCGAAAAGUAAUGUGAAUUGCAGAAUUCAGUGAAUCAUCGAAUCUUUGAACGCACAUUGCGCCCGCUGGUACUCCGGCGGGCACGCCUGUCCGAGCGUCAUUUCAACCCUCAAGCCCUCCUUCGGGAUGGGCCUGGUGUUGGGGCUCGGCCGCCAUCUCCGGCGGCCGUCCCCUAAAUACAGUGGCGGUCACGUCGCGACUCCUUUGCGUAGUAGAAACACCUCGCUCCGGAUAGCAACGCGGUCCACGCCGUAAAACCACCAAUUUUCAAUGGUUGACCUCGGAUCAGGUGGGAAUACCCGCUGAACUUAAGCAUAUCAAUAAGCGGAGA
rnacentral:misc_RNA from 1 species